rnacentral:rRNA from 1 species
AAAUUGAAGAGUUUGAUCAUGGCUCAGAUUGAACGCUGGCGGCAGGCCUAACACAUGCAAGUCGAACGGUAGCACAGAGAGCUUGCUCUCGGGUGACGAGUGGCGGACGGGUGAGUAAUGUCUGGGAAACUGCCUGAUGGAGGGGGAUAACUACUGGAAACGGUGGCUAAUACCGCAUAACGUCGCAAGACCAAAGAGGGGGGCCUUCGGGCCUCUUGCCAUCAGAUGUGCCCAGAUGGGAUUAGCU